rnacentral:lncRNA from 1 species
CAAAAUGUGGGAUUUAAAUAUUCUCAUAAAAAGAAAGCCACCCCAAUAGAUUGAGUGGAGGUACUUCACUUUUGAAUUAAGAAACACAAUGAGUCUGAGGAUGCGGUUAGGGCUCCUGCUCAGGGAUGGGAGAUGAAUGCGAACCCCAGAGAUUGUGUGAUGAGAACUCCUGGAUCCUGCAAAGCUCUCUGGAAAGCCUGCGAACCAUGUGAGAAGCAAUUCCCUAAGAGGAUCACAGGAUGCCUGCCCGUUGGCAAGAUAGUGUGAGUUGUUUCUUAGUGCUGUUCAGUGAAAGAACAAGUUCCCAACCAACACGCCCAGAGUCUGUCCUCUGGAAACCUGCAAGCACCCAGAAGAAACAUUUAAAGGAAGAGCUAGCUCAAUCAAGCAUGAGGUCCGUGGAGAUCGUGUAUCUGAGCCCCUCACUUCCCUAGAGUCUGGGACUUUCAGACACCAACUCCCCACAGUAUUGCUGAUGCCAAGAAAUGCUUGCUGACAGGAGCCUGAUAUGGCUAUUCUCUGAGAGGAUCUACCAGCCCCUGACCAAUACAGAUGCAGAGACUACAGAAGGAGACCGGGCCGCUGCCUACUGGUGAGAACACUAAUUCACUGAGGUUGCUUGUCUCAUGACCUCCCAGGCAGAUGGAGUUCUAUGUCUGUAAGAACUCCACCGCUCCACUAUCGCUGCCGUCCGCCCCUUAUUGAGUUGUCGCAUGCUGCACUCUGGGUGUCAAAGUUCAGCAUGGAGGCGCUUCAGCCCUUCAAUUUCAGGUCUUUCGCUUUAGAGUGAACAGCUUGAAUGACGCAGGAAAGGUCAAAGCCCCUUUGCAGGC